GACGAACGCUGGCGGCGUGCUUAACACAUGCAAGUCGAACGAUGAAGCUAGAGCUUGCCCUGGUGAAUUAGUGGCGAACGGGUGAGUAACACGUGAGUAACCUGCCCCGAACUCUGGGAUAACUGCUGGAAACGGUAGCUAAUACUGGAUACGACCUACGAACGCAUCUUCUGUAGGUGGAAAGAAUUUCGGUUCGGGAUGGGCGCGCGGCCAAUCAGCUUGCUGGUGAGGUAAUGACUCACCAAGGAGACGACGGGUAGCCGGCCUGAGAGGGAAAGCGGCCAAGCUGGGACUGGAACACGGACCAGAAUACUGCGGGAGGAAGUAGUGAGGAGGAUUGCACAAUGGGCGCAAGCCUGAUGCAGCAACGCCGCGUGAGGGAUGACGGCCCUCGGGUUGUAAACAUAUUUUAGUAGAUAAGAAGCGAAAGUGACGGUACCUGCAGAAAAAGCACCGGCUAACUACGGGCCAGCAGCCGCGGUAA
rnacentral:rRNA from 1 species